GUCCUUCUGCACAUCACAUGCAGGAUACAGGAACUGGGAGAGAGCUGAGUAAGCAUGAAAAGAUCACUUUUAAAGUCUCCAUUACCGCCUCUCCCUCCAGCCCCAAGCACUGUAGAAGCACAGACGAGAGAGGAGAGUUAUGGAUUGAGCGAACAAGGAACAUGAGGCUACAUUGCUACAGGCAGCCAUCUUUGAGUUGAGAAGGAAGCCAGCCUUAAAGCUCAGCUGGCAGAAGAAGGAAAAGCAGCAGGAAUUACAGAAACGUGGAGUCAUGUCCUGAUCAUACUUGAAGCUCACUCCCCCGCUUUCUGCAUUUUCAACUGUGUGCUAUGAUAUAAUUUCCUUCCCUGAUGGUCCCAGUGCUGCCCCAUUCCUCACUUUAUGCCACUCAAUCAAGACUAUUCCUUAUGUGAAGAUCAAAUGGAUUUUCGUUUUUAAAGAAAAACCGUUCAGAUGGUUAAAACCAUGCUGAAUUUUAGCUUCAUAAUCAUCAGAUUCAUAGUUUACUUCUACAGAAUUUUCCUCCCCUGGAGUUUCUGAUUGCUUUGCCUUUCCACUCAUGAGAUAAAACAUAGACUUUUCCCAUCUUAUUCCUAAUAAUGCAAUUUCUGGUUUAUUUUGUAUUUUUGUAAAAUCCUUUUCUUCUUCCUGAAGAUAUUUUAGUUGCAGCCUACUGACUUACUGAUCUAAUGCCCUGGUCAACUUGCCAAAUAUUCAAAUUAUUGAAUAGCCAAUAUUCAGGGAAUUUUGUUCCUUUUCUGAAGGCUUAAUUGUCAGGCCUCUGAGCCCAGGCCAGGCCUUCGCAUCUCUGUGACUUGCAUGUAUACAUCCAGAUGGCCUAAAGUAACUGAAGAUCCACAAAAGAAGUAAAAACAGCCUUAACUGAUGACAUUCCACCAUUGUGAUU
rnacentral:lncRNA from 10 species